AAGAACAGGAGUUGGAGCAUUUAACCAAAGAACUCCGACAGGUGAACUUGCAGCAGUUUAUACAGCAGACAGGAACAAAGGUCACUGUGCUGCCAGCAGAACCCACUGAAGAUGACCAAUCGCAAACAGAGAAGGAAAAAGAAACAACAUUUCAGACAGGCUCUUUGAAACGUCCAGGUUCCUCAAGACAACUUCCAAGUAAUCUUCGAAUUCUUCAGAAUCCAUUGACAUCUGGCUUUAAUCCUGAGGGCAUAUAUGUAUAGUUGACAUUCCUCUGUUUGGACAUACCCCAUCAAGGUGCAAGUACUGUUUGGGGGUAUCUGCCACUGCAGCAGAACUGAUCCAUGAGAUGGCCUACAUUGGGUACACAUCUACUCUGAGCCACUUAAAUCCGACCUGCAGGAAUUAACACUACCAUACUCACCAGAAAUAGUGUUACAGUUGCUAUGCCUUCUGUGUCAUUGACUUUACUUACAGUGUUAUAGAAAAUAUUUCAUUGUAAUAUUAGCAGAAAUGUGCAGGGCAAAAAAAUUAUGUAAGUUAUUGAUUUCAGUAAUGCAUCAUGUACACAUGUUCAUAUUUCAUACAGUAUUCAUUUUAUCCAUUAAGACCUUCUAUUUUUCUAAUUUUGUACCCAUGUGUCUGUUUAGAAAAUAUAUUCUAUGGUUUGAUUCAGAAGCUGUCAUUCUUCUGUGUAGACAGCCUAAAUGUCUGCCAAAGCAUCAGUAUAGCUGAGAUGGUAUAUUAAGAAAUUUUUGACAUUCUGACUUGUUAAAUAUUUUUUGGAGGGGAGCAUAAUACCCUAAAGAGAGCCAAAGAAGUGUGCCUUUUUCACUACAAAGGGGAACAUAACAUAUUAAACUGGUGUACUUACACUGCCUUGUGCUUUACAUGGACAUAAAACUGUGACUUUAAGCAUGGUUGUGACUUUCAAAGCAAUUUUUAUGACACUGUGUACUGAACAGUAUAUUACCUGCUUAGUAGCUGUUUCUGUCAGUAUUUAAUGCAUGCCCCCCCCCCCCCCCCAAGAAUAGGAAGGACAUUCUACCUUUCAUUCCUGUGAUCAGUACUUAUGCAAGACCACCAAUGUUCUUGGUGUACCAUCAGCAUUUAUUGUGUAGUCUCAAGCAAAUGAAAGACCACCUGUAGUAUUGUAAAACAUCACUAGGAACUAGUGGAAAUGUGCUAUAUUGUCGUAUAAGGAGCUCACUUGAGUCCAUAUCCCAAUUUUAUGCAUAAAUUACCAGAAUCCUUUUAGGAAAGGUCCAAUCCGUGUGCACUUAAGUUCCUUAACAUAUGCUGAUAUGCACUUCUUGUGCAUAUUACAUAAAGGCAGUAGCAUGCACUUAGUAUGUGAGGCAGAACAAGGCAUCAUUUGACCCCUUAAGUAAUUAAUGAAUUUGAUUUCUUCCUGGGUGGGCAGCUGUUGAAAAGGCUCAUAAAAGAUGCAAGUUUGGUUAGGAAGUCUGUUUUAGUAGCAUAGGUUUUGCAAACACAAGGAAAGAUGCAUUUAUAAAGACUUUGAGAACCCCGUACUUUUACUAACAGAAAUUCUGGCACUGUCUGGUAGUUGGGAAGACUCCUUGUAUAAAUUACAGAUGAUUAAAGCAUGUUACUUUUUUGAGUUUAACUGGUAGAUUGAAGAAAGUUUCAUAGCUCUAUAAUUUGUGAUUUGCAGUAACAAAAGCUCUCUAAAAUGAUUUAACUGUAUGACUGAUAGAACUAAUGUUACAAUUAUAUUACCAUAUAUCAUUUGCAGUUUUUAGCAGACUUGUUAUGGAUACGUUCUGGUAAUAAAUACAUUUCAUACUUAACUAGACUGUUUAUAGAUGUGGCGAUAGUAGUAGUCUUAUUGAAGUCUCUGCCACUCCUUGUGGUGAUCAGUGUUUCAUAAAAACAGUGUUUGGUAUAUUAACUGUGAUCAAAGAUGACCAAAAUGGUUUAAAAGCCAACAAAGCUACACAAGUUUUUCAUUUUAGUCAUAGCUAGAAAAUAGAGCAGAACUGCAAAUACAUGAUUUCUUCUUUUUCAGAUGGACUGUAAUAUCCUUAAUGGACAACGGCACCCUACACUUUAACUCAACCCAUCGUACAUUUUCCGCAUUAAAUAUUUUGAUACUUUCUUUAGGAAUUUGUUUCCCUGUAUGGUUGCAUCCUACUGUCAAAUGCAUUUAACAUUUUUAGCCCUGGAAAAGUUUGCAUAACAAGGUUUUUAUAGUGCUGCCUUCUUUCCUUCCCAUUCUGGUCGCAAUCCCCUUGAAUCUGUUGGCUAGCAGAUUUGCUGUGUAGGUUCAAGAAGCCAGGAAAUGUGACAGCUACAGCUGAAAUAUUGAGAAAAUAGAAGAGAAUAUUUAGAAAAAAAUAAGUUUUGCUGUUUUACAAGAGUGAGCUGGUUUUAUGGGUCUCUGCAUAUGAAAUAAAAAGUCUUAAAGUGGAAGUGAAUAUAAAUCCAGAGAGUCACUGAUAAAAAAUGUUCUUGUAUUCCCCAAGUUUUUGAAUUAAGCAGCAAUUCAGAAUACUUCCAUUUUUUUGAAUAAAUAGAUAAACAUAAUGUGUAAGUAAAAGUAAAAUGUCAUAUUUUGGGAAUAUAGAGUAUAUUGUGGGAAACAGAACCUUUAGCGGGAAAAAUUUGAUCUUGAUGGCACACACAUUACCACUUAACAUGGAUGCUGGAAAAUCAGUACUGUGCAAAAAGAUCAAGAUGUGAGUUUCAAUUUCUGAUCAUUGUUACCCUUUAAGUAGCUGCUCUUAUAAACAGAGCUAGAAGGAUGAUGAUCAUGCUCCAGCCACAGAACUGUUAGAAGUGUGUGGAGGUUGCACAAAGAAACUCCAUUUUAUUUUAAAACUGUUAUACUUUCAGGAAGACAUUCCUUUUCUUGCUGUUGCAUGUGCAGUUUUCAGGAACUUAUGUAAAGGCUGCGUGUCUUCUGUUAACCUUUAUUGAUGCAGACUUAUUUGGCAGUUCUGUAAAAGCUGAAGGGACUUGCCUAUGAGAAGGCACUGUCUUUUAGAGGCAUAAAGGACACAGUUGUGGUCUGUUCUGAACUAUCCCACCAUGCUGUAUACAGGUGGUGUACUGGCUUUUUUUCUCAGUUUGAUCACAGAAUAUUGGUGGAGGGAGAGAGGCGACAUGGAUUUCAUGAUUGAUUUUCAACAAGUUAUCUUCCCAACUAGCACCUACAAACACAUAUUUGUUUACUGUUUUCUUUACAACUGGGGGGUUUACUCAUCACUACCCAACAGUCACUGGUUGCCCCUACCGUUAUGGUCAGUGGUGAAUCAUUUGCUUUCGGUGGUUGACCUCUUCAAGGAUUCUUACCCAGUCCACACACACAAAGAUUGAUACUGCAGUAUCUUCUGCCUUGCAGUACCAGGGAUGAAUAUGGUGACUUCAGUGUGCUCCUUCAUUGUGCUUUCCUCUUCCCAAAGUGGCACCUGUCACCUUACCCAAUGUAAACUGUCCUAUGCUCCAAAGACAUCUGUGUUUAUCUCCUUCUUUGGUUUCAGUUCAUAUUAUAUCUUCUUUGGAAUUUCUGUGCACAAGUGACUAUACUGAAAAUGGUUUUUAUGCCUCCUUUGCUCUUUUUUAUCUUUAGAUGUAACAUGUUGGACAUUUUCUGUGAUUUAACAUCCUUGUCAGGGAUGGGGAAUGACAGAUGUGUGUACUUUCUCCGGUCACUAGAAGAGAGAACAUUGCACUUGGAAUGAUGGCAGUAUUGGGUCACUCAAGGUCCAGCUGCAGUGAUAUCUUUAGUUGUGUGACUUUGCAGGUUAUUCUGUUUAGGGCACUCCUGUAGGGCCCUAUUCAAAUUCUGAUGUCUCAGUGUCUCUAGCAGACAUACCUUCUUUUGUCAUUCAGUGAUGAAACCUUUCUUAAAUUAUGCUUCCCACUGCCAUACAAAGGACUCUGUACUGAAAGUUUUGUUGCCAUAUAACCUUAGGGUGAUGCAUUUCAUCAACACUGCUUCUGACGACACUGAGAUAUCUUAACUGUCAGAGUGGUGCUCCUUUAGUGUUUUAAACUCCAAUGAUUAGAUUUAAAAAUCUACUUUGGUAGAAGGAAUGUGUAAGAAAGGUCUAAGGCAUUGUUGGUUCCUUAAAUGUUUGAAUAAUUUUCUCUUCUAUAGCCUGUAGUCACUGAAAUAGGUUUACAGUGCAUUUGGUGCACCACGUAUAGUGCUGUUGGCUGUGCCCCUUUGCAGUGCCAUGUACUGUUCACAAGUGGUUCAGCUGAAGUGGAAAGCUUCACUGAGGAAAUUGGGUUGGCUAAUUUUCAUUCCAUUCUUCAUGUCAUAUUUAUAAGCUGCAGAUUUUCUGAGUAAGAGCUUCAAACCUGAAGUUUUUAGCUGUAGCUUAUGAUAGGACUACACUUUGUAUUAUACAGCCACAAAGAUGAACAAAGCAUUUCCAUUAUACUGCUUUUGGGGAAAAUUCUAGGUAUAUUUAGAAAGGCUGUGAUUUCAGGGGAAAGUUCAGCCUCUCCUUUUAACUAGAAAAGUGGAUGAAGAACUGCACAUCACUUAAAGAACACCUUUUUGUCAAUGCUCUUAACCAAGUAAUGCCACAACAGCCAGAAGUUGUCAUCUUCUUUCCAGAUCAGGUGGUCAGAUUCACUAAAGACACUUAAACUCUGCACAUUAAGGAGCAAGGCCUCUACUGAUGUUUUUUCAGAUGAACUUUAGGGCAGCCUAUUGAUUUGUGCUGCAACAUAUCGCCUGUUAAUUGUGAAAUCUAAAUGCAGUUUCACACUACUAAAUUACAUCUGAAAAAUAAACUUUUAUGUGGCCCCCUCCUGCGUCCUUUAUUUUAUGGUGUCUUUUUUACCCAUCUUAGACCUUUGCAAUUUAUAUACCAUUAUCUACUACAAGAGUCCCUCCAGGUGGUCCUCUGAGGGCCUCACUCUGUUUUCAGCUACAGAGACUGAAUAUGUGCUCCUUACAUUUAUCAGAAUUUAUGCUUGGUGUCUACCAAAAGUAGCUCCAAGUUACAGUUUCAAGCACCAUCAUAUUUUAUUAUGCCUUAUUGUGUGGGUUAUCCAAACUUCUCAAGUCUUUAAAAAUGUUGGGGAUUGGUUGCUUUAAUUCGAGAGAAAUGCUGCACUAGUUUUUGUAUCUAAUGCAUUGCCUGCUGCUUAUUAAAUUUGAUUAACUCAGUCUUUAUCUUCUUUAUGCACGUGUCCUGUUUUAUAAAAUCUCCUCUUCAUUUUGUACUUUGCAUCUUUUCUGAUCAAAUAUGCUGUUUCUUUUGUAAAUUUUUCAUAGGAUUAUAGUUUUCCUGUUUAUGUAACAAGAUUUUGACUGAAACCAGGCCCUAUUGGUUCAGUUCACUUAACCACAAACAAACCGAUACAUAAAUAUGUGAAGGUGGGAGACAGGAGUUCAUUUUGUCUGCUGACAAGCUGUAGAGAAAGCCCCUGCUUCAUUCUAAGAGCUGUUCUCAGUGCUCAUAUUUAAUGCCAGGUCUGACAAGACUGUACCCUGGACUACAUCGAUUGCAACUGGUGCUGAUAUGGAUUCUAAGGGCAUCCUGUGGGGGAAGGGCAGUGUGCUGUGCUUCAUCUGCCAAAGGGUUUUUCUUUUAAGGCCUAUCCCUUGUUUUGCCUCCCUCCUUUGAUUACUUUGAUUUUUAUUGUAGGGGUGGGGACUGCAUUGGGAGUAUGCAACCUCUCAUCCUGCCUCUCUGGAAGCACAGCCUCUCUCUCUCACCUUAUUCCAGCUCAAGUCCCAGCCUCCACCACAGACAUGAAGGGGAAUGCCCACAUAACCAGCUCCCACACUGUGAUUGAUGGGCACUUUUCCAUCCUUCCCUGCUGUUCCAUCAGACAACCAAGCUGCUAAUUAAACUCACAUCGCCUGGGUUGUUAGGACUUUUUUGCACUAUGCCACCAUAGCUGGUCUGUACUUAAAAUAAUGGGAUAAUAUGGCUACUCUAGGGAACCAACCAAUGUUUUUCCUUACAUUUAUGUUUCUUAUAUUUGUCAAAAGGAAGUUGUAUGUAGUUCUUUCACUGGGAAAUGGUCAACUAAUUGUGUUGCUUUUUGUUUAUAAAGCUUUUCUUAACAAACCUCCUUUUUUAAAUGUUUAUACUUUCUCCUGCAGUGGUUAUACUGCUCUUUGUUUUAGCCAUAUAUUGUGUCUUCUCAUGUCACCGCUAUACACCACAGUCCCACCUUCUGUAUUGAUCAUGCAAAGUAAGCAUGCUUUUCAAGGGAAUGUAGACUUUCACUGCUGCACCUUUUUUUUUUUUUUCUUCAAAUCCAGGUAUUGCAAAGUAAUUUUCUAUGACAUUGGGAUGCGUCUGUCAGUCGAGCAGGUGUUGAGCAGGCAGGCACACUUUGUUUUCCACCUAACCUAGAAACUGCAACUACUUUCUCUCUGUUACAUGUCCAACCCCCAGCUUUUGGCCACGGCAGUUAGUGACUGAAUGCACACCUUCUGCAAAGGUACAACAAGCACUGGAAGCUCUCUGUACUAUAAACCCUGGUCACCAGCAAAUGAUGUCUGUUCCUGUCCUCAGGUUUCUGAUAUUAAGUAUGAAAAAUGUCUGUAAAACAGUCUGACCUGAACCUCCUGUUUCUGCUUACUUCUGUGGAAGGAGGUGCCUCCUUUGGCCGAUAAGACUGUGCUUGUGCUACUGUAUUACCGUACACGUUGUUACUAAAAGAUGCAAGGUAUCUGUUAACCAGAAUUGUUUUGCUAUCUUGUAUACUCUUUCAAGUUAUGUAUUUUAAGCAUUUGUGUGUUUGGUCACCCAGACUCUUGCAUUGCAGUGGACAUUGUGAACAGGUUUUCAUGCUUUAGUAAAUAAUCUGCUGAUGCCUGUGAAACAACAUCACACCAGCGGUUGUCUUGGUGUAGUAAAUACUCAGGUUAAUGUAGUGGCUUGUAAUAUUUAUCGAAUGUUUCAUCAGAGCUACUACUGCAAAAUCUUUUAUUCCCUAAUGCAUACUGUCAUUUUUUGAUGCACCUUUCAUUUUGUCCUCACUUUUCAUUGGGUAUCCUUUUUUUGCUUUAUUUCUCUUAAACUGAUCUUCAACGUAUCUUAUUUAAAUGCUAGGCAUUCUUUUCUUUGUAACUAGACAGAGUACCUGAUCAUAUACACUUGUUUUAGAAUAUCAACACUAGAUAAUACGACCAAGGAGGGUAGGAUUUGGGAUAGACUGGAGAUUGUCCUAUGCAAUAAUAAUUCACAAAAAAAAAAAAAAAAACUUCUGAGAUCCUCUUGAAUAUCUUUUGUUAUAGUUCAUUUUUAGCCUAUUAAUUCUGAUUAACCUUUUAUGGUAUACUUGUUUCUGUAAUCGGGCAACACUUUUUUUUCUUUCCUUGCUGUAAGUCCUUGGCCUCUGUUUGCUUGCAUUCCUUUUCAUGUUAACAUUUUUCUGUGUGCAGUGUACUUUUAUUUUGUUAUAUUUUGUAAAGUUUAGGCACUUGCUAACAGUAGAUACGUGUACAUUUUUGUGUAGCACAAUAAUACAGACUUUGUAGUUUCUUUACCUGCUCAUCUAGCCACAUGUUCCUCCUGCUUCUUAAGAAUUCCUUCAGUUUCAUUUAACAGUACCUAAUUUAAACCCUGUCUUGCCACUAUCCUCCCUCAGGCCAGUCAUGUCUGGAGUAAAUUUGUAGAUAUCCAUCCCAAUCAUCUAGGUUACGUUUAAAGGAAAGUUGUGAAUGCCACUACUUAACAUGCAGGGAAGCUGUUUAUUCCAGAGGUUUGAGAGGCACCAGCUUAUAAACCUGUCUCUCUACAGUGUUUAUCUGUUGCUGAAGAUUUAGGUCCCUGGUUCUUUUCUAAUAUUACUUGAGGUAUUGGACUUCUGGAGAAGUGGGAAGCCCAGAACAAUUGGGUCUCUAAUGCAUGGUAAGCAAGACAGGCGUUUCCCCUCAAAAGUCUAUAAGGCACCAAAUAAAGGGAUAGAGCUGCCAGCCUGCCUUGGUUGCUCAGAAACGUAUGAUGUGAUCUUUAAGGGUUAGACAAGUGUAGGGGAGUGGUUACCUCUUUAGAUUGAUAUUCCUUUGGCAAUUAGCUCAGCUAAGUAAAAGGAUUUCAUGGCAAUUAUUGUUGCAUGAUAAUCAAAAGACAGGGGCUGUCAACCCAGGUACUUGGGUCCCCAAGUACAUUUUCAUUUUGUAGAGGUGCGAUUUCUAGAUGGUAAGAUAAGGAGGGAGGUGUUGUUUACCAAAAGUAAUGAUACUAAACGUUUUAGUAUUGUUUGAGUACAGUAUUAACACUCCAAGAGUUUACUAGGGAGACUUUAUUCUGCAGGGCGUGGGUGUCCUAAUUUACUCCUGUCGUACUGUCCAUACUAUUCACCCUUUUGUAAAAACAUUUUUUGUUAAAUAGACUUGCUUUCUUUUUCAUUAUAUCAAACAUUAAAUCACAAUUAACUAGUGUGUUCCUAAUCACUACUGCCUGUGGCAUUAUAAAGCAAUGUGUUUGACACCACUCCCUCUGGUGUGAUGUAAAUUACUCUGCACUAGGAUCACUCCCAUUCAUACUACAAGCUAGUCUGUCACUGGUACCAUUUCCUGUGGCACUACACUAAUUUUAAUUUUUACUCCAAGACUUCUAGAUAGCAGUGCCCUAAUUCUUCUGCCAUUAUUCAUGCCUUGCAUAUCUUUAUAAAUGUAUAACAAACUGCUAAAGUAUUUGCAGCAUACUUAGAACAUUUCAGUAUGUAAUUGGGUUAAUUACCUUUAUCAUAAAAAUGCUUCUGCAUAUUAGAACAUUCUUCCAACAUUUUGCCCCUGAUGCAUGAUGCUGGGUAGCCUUUCUAAGAGCACUUUGACUUGAUGGAUAAUUCAUUCUUCUUCUCCUCCAUGGCUUUACUCUCUGUCCAGUGGUUUAUGUGAUAAGAAAUGAUGGUGUCAAAAACCUCCUUUUAACCCCUCCUACACUUCCAAAAUGCAUCCAGCUGUUUUUAAUGCACGCUCCAGCUACAUUAUUUGUCUGGCAUCUGUAAAUGUUAGUCAUUAAUGAUCACCAUUCUUUCAUAUCUGCUACCUAGGGUUGGUCCUCCAAGUUUGCUCUCUGCCCUGAGCAUAAGACAAAAGUAAAAGUUUUGAUGAGUUUUACUUGUCCCUUUUUCUCACUUUACCUGUCACAGUAGCGUUUUUUUUUGUGUGUGAUUAUGUGAGAUUUACAUGCAUUUCUAAUGUUGCAGCACUUUUUGUUUUACCUUUCUUUUGUGAAUUUGUAUUGUUUAGUACACUUAGUCGGAUCGCACUUUGCUCUUAUUUUUAUAUGCAUUUUAUACUGCAUUUCUAUACUUUCUGCCUUUUACUUUUUUGUAAGUCGUAACACUUUUUUAGCCAUUAAGAUUUGUUGGUUUAAAACAUUCCAUUCAGUCGGCCAUAAGAGGAUGCCUCAUGCCUAUUGACAGCAUUCUGAUCAACUAAAUUUGUUUCACGUAGUCUACUGGUUUGUUUCCCAGCUCCCUCUUUUUGUACACUUUUCCUGUUUUAAAACUUGCAUAUCAACUCCUUUAGUACAUAUACUUCUGUCAUCCCAAACAGUUAACAUUACAGUCUUAUGACUUUGUGUGACUCAUGUUCAUAUACAUCAUAUUUGUUUUCUUCUGGAAAAUCUGAAGGAGAACUUGACAACUUCAUCUUUAGACAACCAGAAAAGACCCUUUUAUUCCAUAUUCAUAAGUAGUGUUGAAACUUUGCUUGUACAGUAAAAGAAAAAAAUGAAUUUUAACUAUAUUUUUAACAAUUUGAGUCUGUUGAUAUCGCUGUGUACUUUUACCCUGAAUAAGCUUCAGCUCAACCUGUAGAAAAUAAAUGGAAGCUGCAGAUUAGUUCUGAGAGUAUGAUAUAUUUUACUUAUGUACUGUAUGAGAUCAAAGAUCAUUUACAAGUAGUUACAUAUGACAUAGCAUAUCUUUCUUAAAUGAAUAUUAAAAGGAAAGUGCCCUGUGCGUGUUUCUGUGAGCCUGUAUGUUUUGGAAGAGGAAUAAUAAAUCUCUAUUUGUUUAUGUCCAUUUACACAGGUUGUGUGUGUUUAGGUUAGUCUGUGUCACUGUGGGUUCUGUUCCCACACUAGGUACUUGAUUCAUUUUCCAAUGCUAAUGCUGCAGUAUAGCAUAAAGGAGGUAAUGCACACAUGUGCCAUCCUUCAAACAGAAUGCUAAACCUAGGUCUCAGCUGCCUGACUUGGUAUCUCAGGUUGAUGUAAACCAUCCUGCAGCACUUACGGAAAAGAGUAGGGUAAUUUCUGUGGCCAAAUUUCCUGUAGUCAGUAUGAAUACCACCUUGGGUUCCUCCUGAAAGUAGGCCUUAGGCCUAAUUAACUAUAAAUUGGUCGACAAAUUAAUGAAAUUACACACACGUAUUUUAAUUUCCAAAAGUCAUGGUCUCACUUUUGCAAGGAUAUGAGUCUGUGUAUGUAUGCAGAAGCCAAAAUAAGUUGCACUGUUAGUACUAAUAUUUUGUGGUGUAUAUGUUUUUCACGAGUCUUUCUAGAUCAUUCUAAGCUUCAGAAAAUAAGGUUUUAAUAAAUGGCCUGUGUAGGACUUGAACAUGCUGAUUGUGUUAAAACCACUGAUUGCUGACCAUGUGCCAUGUGCAGGUGUAACACUAAAACGUUUAAGUUCAAGACUGCUUACAACAGUCAGGUUUUGAUUUGUGUAGUGGAAGCAGUCAUGUUUUACACUAGAUCUAGCAUUUUUCCUCCAGGUUUAGAUCACAGGGAACUAAUUGCUGUAAAAACCUUUAUUGUUCAGUCCUGCAGUCUUCACAGAACAAUAAUAAUGGGGACUUUCAUUUUAAUACAUUGUUGAGCAGUAUUAUGAUAAAUAGUGUAGUUAGUACUUUAUUUUCAUAUCCACAAUAUUUUUAUUGACAUUUAACAUGUCUUCAUAAGCUCAUUUCUAAAAAGGAGAAUGUAAAUCUAGCAAGCUUGAAGUGUAAAGCUACAUAUGGAAAUGUUACUUCAGGCAAAGCAAUAGAAAACACUAAGUGUUACUGUACAUAGUAAACAGAUGUGUACAACUCCUAUUUUUUUGCAGGAAAAUUGUGAAUAAUAGUGUGUGCUGUACAGAAAAUAUACCACAAAAUGUUUUGUAUUAUGUCUUUGUUAGGUGUGUGUUGCAUAGGUCUUGAAUGUGCAUGGCUUUACCGCUUCUAGAUCACUUAAAUGUUUUGGAUGAAAGCCAAUGGUUGCGUGGGAAUGACAAAACAUUCACUCCAUCAGUGUACUUCUAUUUAUUUAAUAUUGCUGCUUUGAAUAUUCAUAAGUGAGUCACUUUAACACAUGCUAAAUAUUUUAUAAUUGCAUUAAAUGAACUCAAGUAUGUUUCCAUUCUGUAUUCUGAAACCAGAUCACAACCACCACAGAAGUAUUUUUGUUAUGGGAUCUUUGCAUUUUGUAAGAUGCUUGCAUAGUUUUUAGUUAACAAAAUAAUACUGGGAACCUGGUGACUUACUUAAUAGCUCAUCUGUUAACUUUUCUGUAGGUCAUGUCUGGAACACAGUCAUAUUUGAAAAGUAAAUGCUAAUUGCUGACUGUGCUGAAAUUUAUGUUACUGGAAUAUUUAUGAACUAUGUAGAUGAGCACAGAGUUCUGAUGAAUAGGUUGGAAGUGCAUACAGAAAUUGUGAAUGCUGUAAAGAAAAAAAUGUUUUCUUGGUAAAGAAACAGAAGUAAUCGUAUUGUAUAUGUAAUGUUUAUUUUUCCUAACAUUCUUUAUAAAAUGUGUUAUGCAUACUGUCAUGAACUGUAACAUAGUGUUACAAAAUAAAAAGCUAAAUAUUUA